rnacentral:misc_RNA from 1 species
AGCUCAUCGAGAAAAUGAUCGGUUCGUACACCUUAUACUCUAAUUCUCCUUCUUUGUGUGUCAUUGAUUCUUUGCUCUGCUGGAGAAAAAUAGCGGAAAUUUCUGCUUGAAAUUACAGGGGGGAAAAGAAAACUCACAUUCUUCAAGGAAAGGUCCAAUAUUAGAAGACUUCCUAUCAUCGAAAUUAGUAAUUUUGCUAUUGCGCUAAGCUUAUUCUAAGUUGAUGAGGCUC